UACGGAGGAUGCAAGCGUUAUCCGGAAUGAUUGGGCGUAAAGCGUCCGCAGGUGGCUGUGUAAGUCUGCUGUCAAAGAGCGAAGCUCAACUUCGUAAAGGCAGUGGAAACUACACGGCUAGAGUGCGUUCGGGGCAGAGGAAAUUCCUGGUGUAGCGGUGAAAUGCGUAGAGAUCAGGAAGAACACCGGUGGCGAAGGCGCUCUGCUAGGCCGCAACUGACACUGAGGGACGAAAGCUAGGGGAGCGAAUGGG
rnacentral:rRNA from 1 species